rnacentral:misc_RNA from 1 species
UACGGAGGGUGCAAGCGUUAAUCGGAAUUACUGGGCGUAAAGCGCACGUAGGCGGUUUUGUAAGUCGGAUGUGAAAGCCCUGGGCUUAACCUGGGAAUUGCAUCCGAUACUGUAUGACUAGAGUAUGCUAGAGGGAAGUGGAAUUCCGGGUGUAGCGGUGAAAUGCGUAGAUAUCCGGAGGAACAUCAAUGGCGAAGGCAACUUCCUGGGGCAAUACUGACGCUGAGGUGCGAAAGCGUGGGGAGCAAACAGG